GAGUUUGAUCCUGGCUCAGGAUGAACGCUGGCGGCGUGCCUAAUACAUGCAAGUCGAGCGAACAGAUAAGGAGCUUGCUCCUUUGACGUUAGCGGCGGACGGGUGAGUAACACGUGGGUAACCUACCUAUAAGACUGGAAUAACUCCGGGAAACCGGGGCUAAUGCCGGAUAAUAUUUAGAACCGCAUGGUUCUAAAGUGAAAGAUGGUUUUACUAUCACUUAUAGAUGGACCCGCGCCGUAUUAGCUAGUUGGUGGGGUAAUGGCUUACCAAGGCAACGAUACGUAGCCGACCUGAGAGGGUGAUCGGCCACACUGGAACUGAGACACGGUCCAGACUCCUACGGGAGGCAGCAGUAGGGAAUCUUCCGCAAUGGGCGAAAGCCUGACGGAGCAACGCCGCGUGAGUGAUGAAGGUCUUCGGAUCGUAAAACUCUGUUAUUAGGGAAGAACAAAUGUGUAAGUAACUGUGCACGUCUUGACGGUACCUAAUCAGAAAG
rnacentral:rRNA from 1 species